UACGUAGGGGGCAAGCGUUGUCCGGAUUUAUUGGGCGUAAAGGGCCCGCAGGCGGUCCAUUAAGUUCAGGGUGACAGUCAUCAGCUUAACUGAUGGAGGACUUUGAAGACUGGUGGACUUGAGAGCGAGAGAGGGACACGGAACUCCGGGUGGAGCAGUGAAAUGCGUAGAGAUCCGGAAGAACACCAAGGCGAAGGCAGUGUCCUGGCUCGUUUCUGACGCUCAGGGGCGAAAGCGAGGGGAGCGAACGGG
rnacentral:rRNA from 1 species